rnacentral:lncRNA from 1 species
AAUUAAAAAGAAGCAAUUGGAGUUGGAGAGAAUAUUUUUUUGGCUAUACUUUUUACAUAUUGCUUGAUGAAUUUUAAGCUAAGAUAAAGGAAUUAUAGAAAGUUUAAGUGAGUGCUUACAAUCUAAGGAUUUUGAGUAAGUGGAUUUACUAGUGGUUGUGUUUUGAGUCAUAUAUUAAGCAAUUUGAUAAGAUUUUGGCUAAAUAUUUCUAAAAGUAUAUGUUAUUAUAUUAAUAAAUUUUAUAUUUAAAUUUUUUGGCAUUUGGAGUUUGGAUUUUUGAGAUAUGAAGAAAAUAGUAUUAGG